GUGGCAUGGCGGCAUGCUAUACAUGCAAGUCGAGCGGACUUAAAAAGCUUGCUUUUUAAGUUAGCGGCGGACGGGUGAGUAACACGUGGGCAACCUGCCUGUAAGACUGGGAUAACUUCGGGAAACCGGAGCUAAUACCGGAUAAUCCUUUUCUACUCAUGUAGAACAGCUGAAAGACGGUUUACGCUGUCACUUACAGAUGGGCCCGCGGCGCAUUAGCUAGUUGGUGAGGUAACGGCUCACCAAGGCGACUAUGCGUAGCCCACCUGAGAGGGUGAUCGGCCACACUGGGACUGAGACACGGCCCAGACUCCUACGGGAGGCAGCAGUAGGGAAUCUUCCGCAGUGGACGAAAGUCUGACGGAGCAACGCCGCGUGAGUGAUGAAGGUUUUCGGAUCGUAAAACUCUGUUGUUAGGGAAGAACAAGUACGAGAGUAACUGCUCGUACCUUGACGGUACCUAACCAGAAGGCCACGGCUAACUACGUGCCAGCAGCCGCGGUAAUACGUAGGUGGCAAGCGUUGUCCGGAAUUAUUGGGCGUAAAGCGCGCGCAGGCGGUCCUUUAAGUCUGAUGUGAAAGCCCACGGCUCAACCGUGGAGGGUCAUUGGAAACUGGGGGACUUGAGUGCAGAAGAGAAGAGUGGAAUUCCACGUGUAGCGUUGAAAUGCGUAGAGAUGUGGAGGAACACCAGUGGCGAAGGCAACUCUGUGGUCUGUAACUGACGCUGAGGCGCGAAAGCGUGGGGAGCACACAGGAUUAGAUACCCUGGUAGUCCACGCCAUACACAAUGAGUGCUAAGUGUUAGAGGGUUUCCGCCCUUUAGUGCUGCAGCACACGCAUUAAGCACUCCGCCGGGGGAGUACGGCCGCAGGGCUGACACUCAGAGGAAUUGACGGGGGCCCGCACAAGCGGUGGAGCAUGUGGUUUAAUUCGAAGCAACGCGGAGAACCUUACCAGGUCUUGACAUCUCCCGACAAUCCUAGAGAUAGGACGUUCCCUUCGGGGACAAGAAGACAGGUGGUGCAGGGUUUUCUCACCUCGGGUCGUGAGAUGUUUGGGUUAAUCCCGCACCAGGGCACCCUUGAUUUUAUUUCCGCCAUAAAUUUGGGGCUCUU
rnacentral:rRNA from 1 species